UACGUAGGGUCCGAGCGUUGUCCGGAAUUAUUGGGCGUAAAGGGCUCGUAGGCGGUUCGUCACGUCGGGAGUGAAAACUCGGAGCUCAACUCCGAGCCUGCUUCCGAUACGGGCAGACUAGAGGUAGGCAGGGGAGAGCGGAACUCCUGGUGUAGCGGUGGAAUGCGCAGAUAUCAGGAAGAACACCGGUGGCGAAGGCGGAUCUCUGGGCCAUUACUGACGCUGAGGAGCGAAAGCGUGGGGAGCGAACAGG
rnacentral:rRNA from 1 species